rnacentral:lncRNA from 13 species
CCUUGCCGAAAAUCUUGGUUCUUAGCAACAGUAAGGUGGCAAACAAAUGGCUCCAAGGUAAGAUUUGGGGGAACACAGUGGAAGAACUAAGCAUACCAGAAGUCACCUAUUUGGAUGAGUAAUCUUUUAUCCUCUUCAUCCUCUAUGUCUAUCCCAUGUACUGGAUAGAACCCCUAGGUUUUCUUUUUCAUCUGUUUUUGAACUUCCACAUCCCUGGCUAAAUGUGAAAUAAACUGUCAAUUCAGAACCAAUGCAGCUUUUCAGAAUGGAUGGAUUAAUAAAGGUUAUGAGAAUACAUUUACCAGCAUUUACAGUCAAAGAGCUUCUGAAUUUUUAAGGCAGCUCUGAAAGACAAGAGGAAUGGAAAGGCCAAGUGUUUGAGAUGUGCAAGUGGAUUUCCUCACCUCCCUCCUGCAGCCUCCGUGAAUCAGGAUAAGAGCCAGCUUGAACAGAUGGACCAUGCAACUGGGCUUUAAAGGAGAAAUUUAAAUUGUUGAUGUACUGGGAGGGGAAGUGAAUCUGUACAAGAUACCUUUCUCUUGCUGGUCAAAUGGAUGGAAGCUCCAACAAGGGCAUGUUAUUUGACCCACCUAGCUGUGAGGCAGUUUGGAGAAAAAC